rnacentral:rRNA from 1 species
CCCAAGGGAUCGGGAUAACACCUGGAAACAGAUGCUAAUACCGGAUACAACAGAUGAUGCCUAUCAACUGUUUAAAAGAUGGUUCUGCUAUCACUCUUGGAUGGACCUGCGGUGCAUUAGCUAGUUGGUAGGGUAACGGCCUACCAAGGCGAUGAUGCAUAGCCGAGUUGAGAGACUGAUCGGCCACAUUGGGACUGAGACACGGCCCAAACUCCUACGGGAGGCAGCAGCG